rnacentral:rRNA from 1 species
UACGGAGGGGGCUAGCGUUGUUCGGAAUUACUGGGCGUAAAGCGCGCGUAGGCGGCUUAGCAAGUUAGAGGUGAAAGCCCGAAGCUCAACUUCGGAAUUGCCUUUAAAACUGCAAAGCUAGAAUCAUGGAGAGGUGAGUGGAAUUCCGAGUGUAGAGGUGAAAUUCGUAGAUAUUCGGAAGAACACCAGUGGCGAAGGCGACUUACUGGACACAUAUUGACGCUGAGGUGCGAAAGCGUGGGGAGCAAACAGG